rnacentral:tRNA from 1 species
GUUAGAGUGCCUGAAUUUUUAAGGAUUACUUUGAUGUAGUAAGAAAGGUUUUUGACCCUCUAACC